rnacentral:sRNA from 1 species
UUUUGAACCAAACCUUAGAGAGAGAAAGUCUCCCUCCCUCCCAACCAUCAAAGCUCCGUGACGUUGCCACAUCGUCGUUCGCCGCCGUUUAACCGGCACCGGAGGACCACCCACAAGCUCCAAUCAUUUUCGCGUGUCUUCCCACCGAUCAACUUCGCGUCUCUUCCCACCGGUCAUUCUUCGCGUCUCUUCCAGCGUCAGUCGUGCCGUUUCCACCGUCGACGACGACCUAGAGGCUGUGGCACCGUGGCCGUCUUACCCUGCCUUUGGCGAGUUGUUUCUCACAUAAUGGCUCAAGGCUCGGUUUUGUUCGUGAUAAACCGAUUAUUGGUAGCGUGUACUUAAUUUUAUAGGUUGAAGGCCAUGAAAUAAGUACUUCUCAGGUUUCAGAGUCUACAACUUCUUAAGAUGAAUCUGGUAGGAUGGCUAAACCAUUGAUUCAAAAUGUUCCAUCUAUAUCAUUCUCUGAAGCUCAACGUCUCAUUUCUUUGUUUUUUGCCUUAUGUACUAAGGUUAGGCAAACUUUCUGCACACGGUAGCAUUUUUAUUUUUAAAUUGAUGGUGCAGAAAUAGAACUGGUAGAAAAGGAUAAUAACAGGGUACUUUAGCCGGACUUUUUGCACGAAAGGGCAUCUUUGAAUCUGCAAGUUAUUUUGUCCUCCAGACUUUAUUUUUA